CAGACACAGAGAGACCAGCAAGCUCAUCUCUGCCCUGCACAACAACAGCUGGACUCCUUCAUAUCUCUUUGGACAUGUGGGAUGGUGUGCUUGCACAAAGUUCUUCUUGUUCCUCACACAGCUGGGACCCCUGGACAGACUUGACCAACCACAGAAAACCUGCUAAAGGCCUACUGAAUGGGUGGAUUCAAAAGGGAGGUCCUCCUCUACUUGUUAUGCCAUGUGAUCCCACAAUGCCUCAGCACAGGCCUUCACUCGCAGAGGGUGUCUUUUUCCUCUGGAGCUGACAGUCAAACUGAGCUGGACCUGUGUCCUCCGAUUAAGGUCAGAGAGGAUAGUUUCCCAGGUCAGAGUUCAAACUACUGGGAACAAAACAACCAUUCAA